GGGGAAUUUUGCGCAAUGGGGGCAACCCUGACGCAGCAACGCCGCGUGCGGGACGACGGCCUUCGGGUUGUAAACCGCUUUCAGCAGGGAAGAAAUUCGACGGUACCUGCAGAAGAAGCUCCGGCUAACUACGUGCCAGCAGCCGCGGUAAUACGUAGGGAGCGAGCGUUAUCCGGAUUCAUUGGGCGUAAAGAGCGCGUAGGCGGCCUCUCAAGCGGGAUCUCUAAUCCGAGGGCUCAACCCCCGGCCGGAUCCCGAACUGGGAGGCUCGAGUUCGGUAGAGGCAGGCGGAAUUCCCGGUGUAGCGGUGGAAUGCGCAGAUAUCGGGAAGAACACCGAUGGCGAAGGCAGCCUGCUGGGCCGCAACUGACGCUGAGGCGCGAAAGCUAGGGGAGCGAACAGGAUUAGAUACCCUGGUAGUCCUAGCCGUAAACGAUGGAUACUAGGUGUGGGGGGCUCCGCCCUCCGUGCCGCAGCCAACGCAUUAAGUAUCCCGCCUGGGGAGUACGGCCGCAAGGCUA
rnacentral:rRNA from 1 species